CCCGGUUCUCAUAUGAUCACCGAAGUUAAGCAACGUUGAGCCUGGACACUACCUUGAUGGGUGACCACUUGAGAAU